rnacentral:rRNA from 1 species
UGGGGAAUUUUGCGCAAUGGGGGCAACCCUGACGCAGCAACGCCGCGUGCGGGAUGAAGGUCUUCGGAUUGUAAACCGCUUUCAGUAGGGAAUAAGUAUGAAGGUACCUACAGAAGAAGCACCGGCUAAAUACGUGCCAGCAGCCGCGGUAAUACGUAUGGUGCAAGCGUUAUCCGGAAUCAUUGGGCGUAAAGCGCGCGUAGGCGGCUUGUUAAGCAGGAAUUUAAAUCUUAGGGCUCAACCUUAAGUCGGUUCCUGAACUGGCAGGCUCGAGUGCGGUAGAGGAAGGUGGAAUUCCCAGUGUAGCGGUGAAAUGCGCAGAUAUUGGGAAGAACACCGAUGGCGAAGGCAGCCUUCUGGGCCGCCACUGACGCUGAGGCGCGAAAGCUAGGGGAGCGAACA